CUUCUACUGCUGCGGAGUAACAUUUCAUCAAAUAUCUUUCCAUUUUACGUCUUCGCGCAGUUUGGCUGGCUUGUCACACUAGAUCUAUCGCUAUCGUAGACACACCUGCAGACUAGAAAAAUCUUAUAAAACAAACUUCUCAAUCAUAGUAUUAUGAGUAAGCCAAAUAAAGCGCGCUGAGACAAAUUUUGUGCAGAGCUCAAAUCAAAUCUAGAAGGCAACAGUAUGUUAGAAAGCAAUAUAGUUGCAUUGAUAAUAUAUCAGCCCACCUAAAUCCAUGACCAAAUGGUCUUCUUGUUUUUGUUCUUACAUGCCAGAGAUCAACCCCAUAUUAGAACAAGAGUCUUUGAUACUUAAGAUGAUAACUAUAGCCAUUCACAAGCAAAAACUGAACAAGAAAAUUUACCUAAAAUUAGAAGGAUCGUUAGUUUGAAACAAUAAUAAACAUGCAGAAAAAGAAAUGCAGGAAACAUCCUCAGAAGCUCAUAUUGUGGGAAUUGCCGAUAUAUAGAGCGAAAAAAACUGAGAAGAUCUAGGGUAUCAAUAACUAUUGUUGACAACUUGC
rnacentral:lncRNA from 1 species